ACCUACGGGAGGCAGCAGUGGGGAAUAUUGGACAAUGGGCGCAAGCCUGAUCCAGCCAUGCCGCGUGUGUGAAGAAGGCCUUAUGGUUGUAAAGCACUUUAAGCGAGGAGGAGGCUACUUUAGUUAAUACCUAGAGAUAGUGGACGUUACUCGCAGAAUAAGCACCGGCUAACUCUGUGCCAGCAGCCGCGGUAAUACAGAGGGUGCAAGCGUUAAUCGGAUUUACUGGGCGUAAAGCGCGCGUAGGCGGCUAAUUAAGUCAAAUGUGAAAUCCCCGAGCUUAACUUGGGAAUUGCAUUCGAUACUGGUUAGCUAGAGUGUGGGAGAGGAUGGUAGAAUUCCAGGUGUAGCGGUGAAAUGCGUAGAGAUCUGGAGGAAUACCGAUGGCGAAGGCAGCCAUCUGGCCUAACACUGACGCUGAGGUGCGAAAGCAUGGGGAGCAAACAGGAUUAGAUACCCGGGUAGUCCA
rnacentral:rRNA from 1 species